AAACGGAAGACCUAGAACUGUUCCUACUAUACUGCCGAGUACAACAUGGACACCGGCCUCAGGAGGUCCAUCAGCAGAUACAGCCACCAGGCCUGUCACCAACACUACAACGCCUCUGCUACACACAACAGGCGGAACCUCGGUCCUUAGAGUUACCGUCACAAGCACCUUAUCGACUAACGCCACAAUCAGCGCCAUCGUGGAGAAGAUCUGUUCUCUUUUAAAGCCACAGUUCAAAAUAAAGGAGCUGAAACUAACCUGGGAAACGAACCAGAUGACGGUAAGAUGCAGCAUCUGACUCCAUUAGAAGACGGAGAAGGCGCCAUUACUGCACACAUGACGGCUGUAUACAGACUGCUCGUUACCGAUAUGGACUCUGUAGGACACCGUCCUGUCUCUUCAGACAAAAGCUCAACCUGCUGAGACCCAUCAUCCAUAAACUGCACUAUGCACAUGCCCCGAGCGCACCAUGCAGUGAUAAGAAUAGUGGUCAUACAUCAUUUUUCAAUAUUUUCUUCCUAAUGUUCUGCAAAGGUGAAGGCCCCGCCUGUACAAUGUAACACAGCACCCCGGUCUGCAGCCACCACUAGGGGGAGCUCCUUCUUUACAGCUCCCGUUGUUGUCACUAAUAUAUCUGUAUGCAUUGAGCUCCCCCUAGUGGUGACUGUCACAUAUAAAACUCUAUUUGGCACAUGAAUGAAGUGCCA